rnacentral:piRNA from 1 species
UUUAUCUGUUGUGCCAAGUAUCCUAU